UGCAAUCCUUUUCAUUAGAAGAUCAAACUCAAAACAGUCAAAUAAUCAAUGGAUUGGUUGUUUCUUUACAAGAAAAUUUCCCCCAAAAAAAAUGUAAUAAUUAGCCCAAAAAUCAGAAUGCUAGAAAAACAAUUACUGAAAAAAAAUGGAGAAAAUGGACAAUUGGGUCGAGGAAUGACAAAAAUUAAUUCCAAGACACAUGUACAAAAUUUCAAACAGGGAGAGAACAAAGAUCUUCCAAGACUUGUCUGAUGUUAGGUCUCUCAUUUACAGGGAGAAUACACCUUAGCGAUAAAGCAAGCAAAUCAUCCAUUGCUUUCGAGGGUUCUUCUCCACCUGCAAGAUCUCUGUCAAUACAGUCCAUCCGUCUACCUUCUUGAUCACACAGCCGAACCCAAUCUGUAAGAUCAACUGCUCCUGAUUGUCCUGAUAUUAUGUCACCAGCACUUCUUCUGGUUAACAAUUCCAUCAAGAUCACUCCAAAUGCAUACACAUCAGCCUUGAAUGAAGGGACCGUUUUAGAUGCACUUGAGAGUUCUGGAGCACAGUAUCCCAGUGCUCCCAGAUUCAAAAUCUGCUCUGCAAGGCCAGCAGGCGUCAUCAAGCGGUGAAGACCAUAAUCGGUAAGACGAACAUUAUAAUCAGGACCUUCCAGAAGUAUAUUUGUUGGCUUCAAAUUCCCAUGAAGCAUGCCUCUAUCAUGAAUGUACAACAGAGACCGAGCAACAUCAGCAGCAACUUUUAGUCUUUGGUUGAAUGAUAACAGCGAGUACCUCCGAGGUGUUGUCUCAUAGAGAUGUAGGGCCAAGCUGUCUCCAUGAAUAUAGUCUGCUAGAAGAAGUCUCUCCUGCUCUCUAGGGCCCCAAUAAUAAGCUCGCAAUGGAACAAUAUUUGGAUGCUUUAUAGAUCCUAUUCUUUUAACUUCCUUAGCAAAUUCUUUCUUAUGUUUAACCAGUCCCACCCGCAACCACUUCACAGUCAACAUAUGUCCGCCAUCUAGAGUUGCUUUGUACAGAGUUCCAUGGCUGCUUCUGCCAAGAACUUCAGCUGGAGCUCGAGAUAACUCCUCAGCAGUAAAUGCUAGUGAAGUAUCAAGGAAGAAUAGUUCUCCAGCCAACCGAUCUGGUGAAUAGAC
rnacentral:misc_RNA from 1 species